GAUGAACGCUGGCGGCGUGCCUAAUACAUGCAAGUCGAGCGAACAGACGAGGAGCUUGCUCCUUUGACGUUAGCGGCGGACGGGUGAGUAACACGUGGAUAACCUACCUAUAAGACUGGGAUAACUUCGGGAAACCGGAGCUAAUACCGGAUAACAUGUUGAACCGCAUGGUUCAACAGUGAAAGACGGUCUUGCUGUCACUUAUAGAUGGAUCCGCGCCGCAUUAGCUAGUUGGUAAGGUAACGGCUUACCAAGGCAACGAUGCGUAGCCGACCUGAGAGGGUGAUCGGCCACACUGGAACUGAGACACGGUCCAGACUCCUACGGGAGGCAGCAGUAGGGAAUCUUCCGCAAUGGGCGAAAGCCUGACGGAGCAACGCCGCGUGAGUGAAGAAGGUGUUCGGAUCGUAAAACUCUGUUAUUAGGGAAGAACAAAUGUGUAAGUAACUAUGCACGUCUUGACGGUACCUAAUCAGAAAGCCACGGCUAACUACGUG
rnacentral:rRNA from 1 species